rnacentral:rRNA from 2 species
GCUCAGGAUGAACGCUGGCGGCGUGCCUAAUACAUGCAAGUCGAACGAGUUCUCGUUGAUGAUCGGUGCUUGCACCGAGAUUCAACAUGGAACGAGUGGCGGACGGGUGAGUAACACGUGGGUAACCUGCCCUUAAGUGGGGGAUAACAUUUGGAAACAGAUGCUAAUACCGCAUAGAUCCAAGAACCGCAUGGUUCUUGGCUGAAAGAUGGCGUAAGCUAUCGCUUUUGGAUGGACCCGCGGCGUAUUAGCUAGUUGGUGAGGUAAUGGCUCACCAAGGCGAUGAUACGUAGCCGAACUGAGAGGUUGAUCGGCCACAUUGGGACUGAGACACGGCCCAAACUCCUACGGGAGGCAGCAGUAGGGAAUCUUCCACAAUGGACGCAAGUCUGAUGGAGCAACGCCGCGUGAGUGAAGAAGGCUUUCGGGUCGUAAAACUCUGUUGUUGGAGAAGAAUGGUCGGCAGAGUAACUGUUGUCGGCGUGACGGUAUCCAACCAGAAAGCCACGGCUAACUACGUGCCAGCAGCCGCGGUAAUACGUAGGUGGCAAGCGUUAUCCGGAUUUAUUGGGCGUAAAGCGAGCGCAGGCGGUUUUUUAAGUCUGAUGUGAAAGCCCUCGGCUUAACCGAGGAAGCGCAUCGG